ensembl:lncRNA
GGGACUUGACCUCAGGGUUGUAAAAUGUUUCAGUAAUUGUUUUAUGCUUUCUUAUUUCUAUUAACUAGCAGUAUUAAAAAAGAAAACCCACCACCAUGAUGUGUGACUCAAGAGGAUUUUUUUUUUACCCACUACUGAGGAGCAUCUCACCUGUAAAUAACCAUCAUUAGCUACAAGCUCAUCAGUCCAAAAACAGAUAAAUCCCAUUCCUCUCUAGACCAUACCUUAAGUAUUUCCAAAGUAGAAAAAAGGUACUGUGAAAAUUAAUGACUUUUAAAUGGUGUCGUUCUUCUACAGUUCAACUUUGAAAGCAGAAGUGUCACCGUGCGAGUUUUGGCAUGCAUGGUAAGAUUUAAACAGUCCUCCCUGGCACAUCACUUGCCAGCUUCUAUCAAAUAAAUCUGCCUUGUACCAUAAUGGCUGUUCUGCUUGUAGCUGAAGCAGUUUGGUACCUUUGUCACCAUUUGGUUUUGUUUUGUUUGGACAGUGCUUUUUGCUAUCAACUCAGAGGAUCUGUUCUUUAAAGGGUGCAGGUAGGGAAGAAGGAUCAUUUGUUUUCAGAGUUUGUGUUCAUGUGGAUAAAAUCUGAUCAUUUUUUGUGGAAAUUUCAGAUUUUCGUAACUGGAAUUUAAUUCAACUUAAUUAACAGAAAGAGAAGGAAAUUUGAAGUAAGCUGGCACUAAUUAGUAUUGCCUUGCUGACUAAAGAAGGUAUAACUUAGUAAAUGUUUGGAUUUAAGCACGUCAGUUGUGCUGAAAACAAACACUGCUGUAUAUUGUAGGUGUACUGGAGGCACGGCAGAAAAAUUAAAACCCACUGCAAAGGAAACAGACGUUCAAUGGGAAGGCAAGCACUUGCAUUUUGUGUAGGUACAGAGCCUCCCUUAGCAUUCACAUGAUGAUAAUAAAAGAUGGUUAUCCUAGCAGCAACAGGAGAAUGCUGCAGCUUUUAAGCUCCUAAUGUCAAUCUGAGUGUGAGAUGAGCGUUAGGUUAGUGAUGCCGUGAUUCUGAUUUCAUGUUCACUCAGCAGCUCUCCACGAUGACUUCAGCCUGAGCUGUUCCCAUUAAUUGUGCAGAAGUUCUCUGUGGAUCACAGAGGGCGCCCUCUGCUCUCAGAAAUUGGACAGAGCUGUGCCUUUUUCAGAUGAGGAUAAAGAUUGGAAGGGUUUGAAGGCUUUUUUUUUUUCUUUUUCCAGUUUAAAAAUUGGCCUGUCCUCCUUUUUUGUUUUUUUUUGUUUGUUUGUUUGAUUUGGCCAAUAAACCCUCCUGCUUCCUCGAUCUGUUGCUGCUUUUACAGAUUGGAAUCAGCAAAUACACCUUCUGAUGAAAUUUCUCUGGAUAUUGGGAAUUGCCUUUGUACUCAGUCAUGGCCCAUAUGUGUACAAAGUGCAUUCUAGCAGUGCAGGCCUCUUUGUGUACUGAGAAUUUAUGUACACAAGCACUGUAGUCAAAUGGAGCUUCCCUGAGAGCAGCAGUGGGUGUAGGUGUUCACAGUCUGUUUCAUCAUAUUACUAAGUAGUUCUUUCAUCCUUUUAAUUUGGCAUGAAGGUAGAUUUGUGUGGUAUGUGCUUGCACUCCCAGUUUUCAUGCUGUUUUCCACAAACUGAGGCCCUACACCAUGUACUCCAGCAGAAUAGCCUUAUGGUAUGAACUUCAAACACAUCUGAAAUGGAGAAAUGAUAGAAUAUUUUGCUCCAGAAAGGAAAUGGUGCUUUGCUUUGGUUUGUGUUUGAAUUCCCUGCCCUGAAAAACCUGCCCAGGUGGAGGCAGAGCAGAAGUCCCUUGCUGAAGUGAUCUAUUAACGUUAAUUAUUAUCUUUUGCUUGGAGAACUCUGAACAUUGUUGUUACCUUUUCUUUCCAAUCAACCCAUAUGACAACAGCAGGGUUCCCUGAUAUUUUUUUUUAUCUUGGUUCUGCACAAAGGUGACAUUUGUAAGCACACUGACAGUAAUCAGUAGAGGAUGUCUUUUCAAUAAGCUGCACACUAAAUUUUCCUGAGCUAGGUGUCUGGUUUCCUAAAGGGUCAUUGAAGCCUUUCAAGCUCCAUUGACCGGGUACAGCACCCAGACAUAAAGGCUGGUGGGAAAACACCCCUACAGUUCUCAUGGACUGGUGAGGUCGGUUGAUUUUCUGAUAUGCUGCUGAACUAAUGCACUUUCCUAAGAUAAGGAGAGGCAUCAAGGGCAAGAGCUGAAGUCUAAUGUGCAGUUUAAAGACGCACACGUGCAUAGUCUGUUCAGAUUUAACUUUGUUUAAAUGAUUACCUCUAAAGACAAUUAAUCUUGCUAGGCACAUACAGUGAGUUCAUUAGAAGUACUGGGAUAAAUUGUGUCACUGAGUAAUACAGGUGGUUUCUCACUUCAGGGGGGACUUUUCCAUUCUUGUUAUAAAUUACAGGAGCAUAAUGAUUUGACAGGAAUUCUUGUUGGUAAGAAAGCAGAAGGUUCCUUGGGUAAGCCGCAGGUGAAUUGCAUUUUCCCGUGGCUUAGAUUGGAAGGUAUAGGAAGGAAACUAUUAUAAGAACAAAGGUUUUUGUGUCGCAUUGAGGUUUGCCAUAGCUCAGCUGGAACAAACAGCAGGCAGUGUUCCCAAAGACAUUUGAGCUUUUCCAAACAGAAGCAGUCUGUCUCAGUUUUUUCUCCCCUGACACAAUUGAAGCUUGAAAAAUAAACUUAAUUUGUAACUGUAUUUUUG